GUCAGCCUACGGGGGGCAGCAGUGAGGAAUAUUGGUCAAUGGGCGGAAGCCUGAACCAGCCAAGUCGCGUGAGGGAAUAAGGCCCUACGGGUCGUAAACCUCUUUUGCCGGGGAGCAAGGGCCGGGACGAGUCCCGGUCCGGAGAGUACCCGGAGAAAAAGCAUCGGCUAACUCCGUGCCAGCAGCCGCGGUAAUACGGAGGAUGCGAGCGUUAUCCGGAUUUAUUGGGUUUAAAGGGUGCGUAGGCGGGCUUUUGAGUCAGCGGUACAAAUUCGGGGCGCAACCCCGUCCGGCCGUUGCAACUG
rnacentral:rRNA from 1 species